AGCUCCAAUAGCGUAUAUUAAAGUUGUUGUGGUUAAAAAGCUCGUAGUUGGAUCUCAACAGCCUUGAAGCGGUUAACUUUGUAGUUUUACUGCUUUAUAGGCUUUGCUUUUGCUGGAGGUUUAGGGGUGCUCUUGAUCGAGUGUCUCUGGAUGCCAGCAGGUUUACUUUGAAAAAAUUAGAGUGCUCAAAGCAGGCUAAAAUGCCUGAAUAUUCGUGCAUGGAAUAAUAGAAUAGGAUGUCGAUCCUAUUUUGUUGGUUUUCGGGACUCGACAUAAUGAUAAAUAUGGUCAGUCGGGGGAAGGUGGAGGCAUACGUAAGAGGGGAAAGGAGGGGAGAGGGGGAAGAAAAAAGAAGGAGAAAGCAUUUGCCAAGAAUGUUUUCA
rnacentral:rRNA from 1 species